CUCGGCCGGGCGCUCGGGUUUCAGCCGCCGCUCCUCCGCGCCCCGCCCGCGCCUGGCCCGCUCGCCGGCGCCGGGAGAGACCUCGUAACGGAACUGGGACGCCAGCGCUGCAUUGUGGGAGCUUUUAAAGCGGCGGGGAGCUCGGCGCGACCCUCGGGCCCACCGGGCCACGCUCGCCCGGCCCGCGACGCCCCCCCGCUGUCGCCUGGCCCGCGACGCACCGAGGCCUGAGGACCCGAAAGCCGGGCGCGGGGAGAUGACCGGUGGCUCGUGACGGUCCCACGGGCAAAAUCUUCCAUCGCCCGGGGCUGAGACUUGUCAAACUGCCCUCUACGGUCACCCGGAAAGUAGGAGGCUUUUUCUGCAGAGGGGAAAAAAAUCAAAAAGAGCCGUUCCAUCCCCCCUCCAAGGACUGGGUUUGAAUUGCUUUUCAUCUGCAGUGGCUGUGAUUCAGCGUCCCUCUUAGCAGCAGGCAAUGACAGAGGCAGGAGAGGGGAAAAAAAAAAAGAAAGAAAGAAAAAACACAGCAAAUGAAUCAAACGGACGUAGCAGGCAAGAGUGUGGUUAUCGUUGGACCAGGAUUCAGGAUCUGACUGAGUAGCUGACUCUUAAUCCAGUUUGUGUUGAUCACCAGGAGGAUCUGGACCUCAGUAUUACCACAUCUAGAGCUAUAAUCACAUCCCUGUUAAGCCUUCCUGAGAUCACACCAAAUGUCCUUGAUGGGAAUUGUAAACAACCCUUACUUCUGGUUUCUAAUGAUAUUCCAGGAAAGGAGCCUAACUAGAGUCAGUGAUAUGCCAACUCCACCUUUGCCUUCCACCAUGUUUGGAAGCUCCCUGAGGCCUCACCAGGAGCAGAUGCUCGUCCCAUGCUUCCUAUAAGCCUGCAGAACUGGAAAAGAAAGCUGGAUAAAGUAUUUAUAGAAGAUAGAGGACCUGUGGUGGCUCAUGCCUGUAAUCCAAGGUGGAAGGAUUGCUUGAGGCCAGAAGUUCAAGACCAGUCCAAGCAACAUAGCAAGGCCCCAUCUCUACAAAAAAUGAAAAUAAAAUUAGCCGAGCGUGAUGGCUCAUGCCUGUAGUUCUAGCUUCUAGAGAGGCUGAGGCAGGAGGAUUGCUUGAGUCCAGGAGUUCAAGAUUACAGUGAGCUAUGGUCACACCACUGCACUCCAGCCUGGGUGAUGGAGUGAGACUGUCUCAAUAAAAAGACAAAAAGGCUGGCCAGGGGCAGUGGUUCAUGCCUGUAAACCCAGCACUUUGGGAGGCAAAGGCAGGAGGAUUGCUUAAGCCCAGGAAUUUGAGAUCAGCCUGGACAACAUGGUGAGACCCCCAUCUCUACAAAAAUUUUUUUUAAAAGUUACCCAGGCAUGGUGUUGCACAUCUGUGUUCCCAGCUACUGGGGAGGCUGAGACGGGAGGAUCACUUGAGUCCAGGAAGUUGAGAGGUUGAGGCUGCUGUGAGCUGUGAUUGUGCCACUGCACUUUAGCCUGGACAACAGAGGGAGACCCUGUCAACAACAACAACAACAACAAAAAAGCAAAACAUCAUAGGCUGCAGAAAUAAACUUUCUUGUCAAUUGUGUCUUUAACCAUGACCAUUUUGAGUCAUUUCCACAGUGAGUUGCCUAAUUUUGAUGCAUUUCUGAAAACUCUUUAUAAGCAAGUAAAAUCCUAGAGAAUUGUGCCUUCAAGGAGACUCAUGGAAAGGAUGGAAAGAACUCUUGAAUACAUGUUUCUGAUAGCUUUAUGAUCAUAUCAUUUGGACUGGGUAAGAAUUCCCAGAACUCAUGAAGAGACUGACUAUUUAUUAAUCCAAGCAGGAAAAGAAUUAAUUGAAUACCAAGGAAAUACUGUGCCAGAGAUUUUCAUGCUAAAUCAGUCAGCACCGAAAUCGUUAAGAUGUGUAGUUUGAAUGAACUCCAUGAUCCUAGUCAAAUUUCCUAUGAUGACCCAUUUAAUAAACAGUGCUAUGCACCUGAAUUGGAGAAACAGAAUUGAUACUUAAAUCCAAUGUUAAUCAUAGAUUCAUGGAAAGCCUAAAUGGCUGCUUGGGUCUUCCUGAGCCCUUAAAGCUUCCAUUAUUAAAGGCUCUGCACUUUAUAAGUUAUCACUGAAGAGAGAAAAUGAUCCAGAUUUAAAAUACACAUAUUGGUGUGGUGAAUGUUCUAAAUUGCGAAAAUGGUUUAUGACCAACAUUUGGUUUGUCAUGCUCACAAUCCUGGAAAUACAUUCAAAACUUCAGGUACAUUUCUGCUACCUGAUGGGCUAUUUGAAUAUAUAGAGAGGGAUUUCAUUCAAUUGCCAUUUUCAUUGCAUGUUUUUUGGUUGUAUAGAAGCUUUCCCAUGCAAGGAGGCUGAUGCUGUUAUUACAGUAGCUAAAAGGUUAGUAGGAAAUGUGUUUUCCCCCAUGGGGCAUUCCUGGAGAAAUCUCUAGCAAUAAAGGUACUUGUUUGACUGGACAAGUUGUAAAACAGUUUAAUAAGGUUUUUUUUAGGUGUCAUAGCAUUAGGCAAAGCUAACUGAAUUGACUGGAUUGUCAUAGUCAAACAUAUUGCAGAUCCGCUUCCAAUAGAAGACAAUGAAAUAGUCACUGGAAAGCCUGUGCUCCUAAUUUUAGAACCUCAUGUAUCUUCUGCUCCUAAACUCUGAUAGGACUAAAUGCUGUGAGGCCUCAAUGCAUUAUGUUAAUGUGUAUUUUCACCAGGUCAAGGAAGCUUUUCCUGAUCCACUAACUAAGGACAAUCAAACCCUUCAUGAUCUAGAAUCUGGAGACUGUGUCUUCUGGGAAUAGUAUCAGAGAAAGACUGCCCUUACUGCCCACAUGUAGCAAAACUUUGAGACGUUGAAUUAUGGGUCCAUAAUCUCACAACUCAGAGGGGCACCUCUAGACUCUUGGAACUGUAUAUCUAUUGGAGACUUUAAGGUAAAGCUGAACAGAGAGACGUUUUUCUCCAGAAGCAGACAGCACCAUAGUCAUGGACAGCUUUCCCAAGAUCACAGAUCAAGACUUCUCUGCCGUCAUGAGACUCAUAACCUCUUAAUUUUUUCUUGCUUAUGCUUCUGUGAACAAUAGAAUUGGAAAAGGGGUGGUCCCGCGUGCACCCAUAGGGUAUACUUUUAUUUGUGGAGGAUUUUGCUGCCAACCUUAUACAUGGGCAAACUUAUGCCUUCAUGGAUGGAAGAUAAAGGGCUAAUAUGGGUUAGAAAUUUUAAUGGUACCUUUGUUUCUCCAUAAUCAUUCAGAAACAGAACACUGGUCCACUCUUGUUAACCUACAUCAUAGGUUGAAGAGAACAUUGCCAGGAGGCCUUCAUCCUUCCAGAUGGGCACCAUUUGUUGGGUCUUUUUCCGUGGUAUGAAGAAAAUGAAGCAAUGAUUAGAAAUUGGUCCCUCGGCCGGGCACAAUGGCUCAUGCCUGUAAUCCCAUCACUUUGGCAGGCCGAGGCGGGUGGAUCACCUGAGGUCAGGAGUUUGAGACCAGCCUGACCAAUGUGGUGAAACGCCAUCUCUACUAAAAAUACAAAAAUUAGCUGGGUGUGAUGGUGCACACCUGUAAUCCAGCUACUCGGGAGGCUGAGACAGGAGAAUUGCUUGAACCUGGGAGGCAGAGGUUGCAGUGAGCCAAGAUCACCCCACUGCAUUCCAGGUUGGGCAACAGAGCAAGACUCUGUCUCAAAAAAAAAAGAAGAAAGAAAGAAAUUGAUCCCUCAUAAUAGGCUGUAUAGCAGAUUCUACUGCAAAGGCUAUGGUUGCACAACAGACUUCUUUGAAUUUGCUUGCUAAACUUUUACUGGAUAAUACUGGGAUUACAGGUGUGAGCCACUGUGCCCAGCCUCUCCUGUUUAACUGUAUUCAUUCUAAUGUUUACUUACUUCUUUAAUUUGUAAAAUUGGGUCACUUAGAGUUUUUUUAGCCUAUCUUGCCAUUUAGCCACUGUUACUGAUAAUUUGGAUGGAAAAGAAAAAUAAAUUAUAUCACCUCUCAUCUUCAGUGUAUAUAUGUGUUAACUUAGUAAAUAUAGUAUUCUUUCUCGUUCCUAAUGAAAAUUUAGUUUACGUACUGAAACACUGCAAACUUUUAUAAAUAUUGUGAUGUAUUUGACCAAUACAAAGGAUCUUUUUAGAAACAGCAAACAGUUCUCAGAUUAUAGGAAUUACUCAUUUAAUGAUAGUUUCUUCUU
rnacentral:lncRNA from 1 species